UGUUUAUCUCGCUGCAGUUCUCGAAUACCUCGCCGCUGAGGUAUUUUAUUUUCUAGAUCUCUUUAGAAUUUUCCCUCCAUAUUUGUUUGCGUACAAGCAUCAUUAUCUAGGGUUGAUUAAUUUGUUUUCAAUUUCAUUUAUUUGUACGGAAUUUACCCGCUGCCUCUUAAAUUUCUGAAUUUUUUUUAAUAAGUCUAAUUUGAUUUUGGUGUAUGAUGUUGGGAUUUCUUAUUGUGAAUUGUUGAAUUUCAAUUUUUUUUUUGUUAGUAUGAUUUCCAUAUUCAAGCUGUUUUAUGCCUCCUUUUCCCUAUUUCUCAAAAUUAGGGCUUGCAUCGUUGUGUUAGGUUUUUAUUUUAUUUUUGUGUUUACUUCCUUAAAGCUGUGAUUUAGAAGUUUUGGAAUUUCUUUUUGGUGAUCUUAGAUCGGGAUUUUGAUUUUAUUAACUGUGAAUUUCUAAUUUUAUUUAUUUAUUCACUCUUUGAAAUUUAGGUUAUUAGAUGGUAUUUCGUGUAAUUAUUAUAUUCUGACAACUUAGGUUUAUGUGUUUGUGUUUGAUGGGUUAUUCUUUCAUUGUGUCCUCUUA
rnacentral:misc_RNA from 1 species